UGCCCAGGCCCCCUGAGGAGCCUGGGCGUGAGGAGGGAGCUGAGCAUUCAAGUGUCCUCUCCUGAGAGAAGAUGCUGGGACCAGCGAGAACACCAAGGCCCCGGAGAUGAAAUCCCGGAGACCCAAGAGCUCUCUUACGCCUGUGCUAGGAACGGAAAGUGAUGCUACUGUGAAAAAGAAACCUGCCUCCAAGACACCUACAAAAGCAGCUAUGCCUCCUCAGAUCAUCCAGUUCCCUGAGGACCAGAAGGUGCGUGCUGGAGAGCCAGUGGAGCUGUUUGGGAAAGUGACCGGUACCCAGCCCAUCACCUGCACGUGGAUGAAGUUCCGAAAGCAGAUCCAGGAGAGCGAGAACAUCAGGGUGGAGAACAGUGAGAGCGGCAGCAAGCUCACCAUCCUGGCUGCACGGCA
rnacentral:lncRNA from 1 species